rnacentral:piRNA from 1 species
AGGGGGAACUGGGAUUAGAAUGU